CCACGUUUUGCUUUAUUUUGUGCAGUGCUCCACUCCAAAGGGCGCCAUUCAGGUACACCAAAUUAUGAUUGGCACUUUUUUGAGUGUGGUAAUUCACAACAUGUACAACUACAUAUGU
rnacentral:precursor_RNA from 14 species